UGAAUUGAAGAACCUGGAGAACGAUGAAGAACGAAACAGUUGCUGCAAAAGUACAAUGUUGAGGAAGAUCUGACAGAUCUGGCUCCUCCUCCUCCGCUCUCCUCUUCUCUCUCCCUAUUUUCUAGAUUACAACUAGAACUAACUAGAACUAGAACUAGAGGAACUAGAACUAGAACUAGAUGAACUAGAACUAGAUCUAGAUGAACUAGAGGUAGAACUAGAAGAACUAGAGGGAUCCUCUCUACUUGGAUGAAGAAUUGAAACCCUAACUUUGAUUCUGUAGAAGAGGUAUGAUCUCCAGGGGCCAGGGAGUCUGGUUUUAUAGUCCCUUCAAGUGAAUCUGGGCCGUCGGAUCAAACCGACAUUGAUCGCACGGUUUUCCUUGAUCCUUUAGGUCGGUGGAGCAUAAUCCGUGAAACGUGUCCUGAUUGGGCACUGUAGCUGGGCGGGCGCCCAGGAGAGUUGGGCGGGUGCCCUGCCUCCGAGCCCGAUUUCCUUCCCGUUCGUUCCCGUGGCUUCUGGAGUCUUCUAGAUGAUAGAAAAUUGCGCGACACAUUAAUAUCUCUAUGUAAACCCGACGUGUGGGCCUUUCUUUCAUAUUUCCUGAUAACCCCCUGCAGAAAUAGAUAAACACCAAAACUCAUAGAAUUCUGUUAGAUAAAACCCUAAGUCUAGGUGUUGGUUGCAUUUGGAUCCUUUUCCAUGAUUAGUUGAUGGUUAAAUGUGAGCAUUAAGGACCGUCAACAAGCUCCCCCAAGCUUAACCUUUGCUCGUCCCUGAGCAAAGCUAAAAUCAUCAAGAAAACAGGGGUUACUUUUAUGCCUCUUACUACAGGGUUUUUAAGUUAUCACUAAGGUCUUAAGUGAUUGAAAAACAGAAUGAUCAAGUCAAGCACUAUGUCUCAAGUUCUUCUGUCUUACCUUUGUUCUGGAGUUUUUUAUAAGUCUGCAAAAUGAAACUGAGGCAUUGCCUUCUUCUUGAAAGAUAUAUAAGUAGAGCUUUAAAAGUUUUAGCAUACUUACUUUGCAUUUUGCUAUGUCAAAACUCGGAGCAAGGGAGAGGAAUGUCAUACUCCUAGAUCAAGACCUUUGACCUUUUUGAGAAGUUUGUCAUCUCUUACUGGCAUAUUGCUUAUUAGAGGGACCAUGGGCUAUCAUUUUUUUCUUCUUCUUUUUUUUCUUCUUUUUUUUUCAUGUGGGCACCAAGUACCCCUAAUUCUACUAUCGGACACGUGUCCAUUUUUUCCACUCAGGUGGGUAUCUUUGUACCCCUAAUUCUACUUCGGACACUUGUCCAUUUUUACCUCUCGUCUCACUUCUCUUUUUUUUCGAAUCAAAUUUUUGCAUAGUCCCAUGCCUCUAACGCAAUAAUACUUCAGAAGAGUGAAUCUUUUAUAUUUUUAAAACAAAAAGAUCUUGAUCUUUAGAGCAUGAUAAUUCUCUCAACCAAAACUACAAGAAUUAACAAUGGCUUGAACAAAGCAAGCGCCCACAGUUUUAAUAUUUAUAUCUUAUAAGACUCUAGGUAUUAUGUCAAACAAGAUCUCAUUCAUUUUUAGAUUUUCAAAAGAUAAAAUCUCCAGAACUCUAGCAAAACUUGGAACAAGUUAAAUAGUAGCUCAGACCUUCUCAUAUCAUGUUUAUCAAUUACCUAGACUUGGAUCAAAGUUUCUUUUUAUUUUAUUUAAAACUUAGGAUUACACAAAACUAUUGUAUAUUACUCAAAAGAAAAACUUUGUUUGGUUUCAUGGUUAUGCAUUUAUUUAUUUAUUUAUUUAUUUAUUUGUUUCCGAAUACUAGUAAAUAAAACCAAGAAAGAAAAGUAAUACUUAUCUAGAUACACGUGGGGUGCCUCCCCCAAGCUGGAUGUUGACAUAAUCGUUCACUCUGGUGGCCUGCAUGUUCGAUCUCACUCUUCUUAAGCCUCAAAAUCCUGCACAACCCAAAUAGACAACAAAACUUGUGGAACAUGUUAAGGGUUAGGUAAUUGCCUAGAGCUUAUGAGAGCUUAAUGUGAGAAUUCUAUGAACUCAAUCACAUCAAGUUCCUCUACCAGGUUGUUUUGUGGCUCAAGAUAGAUUUUCAAGCGUUGACCAUUUACCUUAAAAGUGUUACAUAUGUCAUCUUGGAUGGUAAUGGCUCCAUGAGUUGAAGUGUCAAUAACCUUGUAUGGUCCAUCCCACUUACUUCGUAGCUUACCAUGCCCAAAGAGCUUAACUCUUGAAUUGAAUAGUAGAACCUUAUCUCCAGGCUUAAACUCCUUGUGCUUGAUUCUCUUAUCAUGCCAUCAUUUUGUUCUUUCUUUAUAGAUCCUUGAAUUGUGGUAGGCUUUCUCUCUCCAUUCUUCUAGCUCAGAUAGUUGCAUCAGACGAUUCUCGCUAGCAAGGUGGUGAUCCAUGUUCCAUUUCUUGAGUGCCCAAUGAGCCUUAAACUCUACUUCCACAGGCAAGUGACACGUUUUUCCAUAUACAAGUUGAUAAGGUGACAUGCCUAUGGGUGUUUUGAAUGCAGUUCUAUAUGCCCAAAGUGCAUCAGGAAGUUUGUCCUUCCACCCCUUACCCAUCUCAUCUACGGUCUUUUGUAAAAUAUUUUUGAUUUGUUUGUUAGAUGUUUCGGCUUGACCGCUAGUCUGAGGAUGGUAUGGUGUUGCGACGUUGUGUCGAACUCCAUGAUCGGCUAGGUACUUCCGGAAGAUUUUGUCGAUGAAGUGGGAACCUCCAUCGCUUAUAACUAUCCGGGGUAUACCAAAGCGAGGAAAUAUUACUUCAUGGAACAUUCUCUUGGCAUGUUUUGAAUCAGCUGAUCGACAAGGAAGGGCUUCAACCCAUUUGGACACAUAGUCCACAGCUACUAAGAUAUACUCGCAAUUCCCGGACAUAGGGAAUGGCCCCAUGAAAUUAAUGCCCCAUACAUCGAAAAGUUCUACUUGAAGAUUAUUUGUGAGAGGCAUUUCAUUUCGUGAGUUGAUAUUCCCAUGUUUUUGACAUCGGUGGCAUCUCCUGACAAAGUCCUUUGUAUCUUCAUACAUCGUUGGCCAGAAAAAACCACUUUGCAAAAUUUUAGCAUGUGUCCGGAAUGCUCCAUAGUGUCCUCCAUAUGGCGAGGCAUGGCAUCUUUCCAUAAUUUGAGUAGCCUCAGCCAUAGGAACACACCUUCUCAAGAGUCCAUCAGCGCAGACUCGGAAAAGAUAUGGCUCAUCCCAAAGGUGGAAAUGACUAUCGUGAAGCAACUUCCUUUUGUUUGCACCAGGUGGGACAUAGCCUUUUACUAUAAAGUUUACGAUGUCUGCGUACCAUGGAUCUGCAUGUGUUAUCUUAAGCAGGGUGUCAUCCCUUAGGUAGUCAUUUAUGGGAAGCUCAUCAUGUGUUUCCUUAUAUUGAAGCCUAGACAAGUGGUCGGCUACGGAAUUCUCAACUCCCUUCCUAUCUCGGAUUUCUAUGUCAAAGUCUUGGAGUAGAAGAAUCCAUCGAAUUAGACGAGGCUUAGCAUCUUUCUUAGUGAGGAGGUACUUAAGAGCAGCAUGGUCUGAAUAGAUGAUUAUCUUUGCGCCCACUAAGUAAGAUCUAAACUUGUCUAUAGCAAAGACAAUAGCCAAAAGCUCUUUUUCAAUUGUAGUGUAAUUGAGCUGUGGUCCAGACAAGGUUUUGCUAGCGUAGGAUAUGGCAUAAUGCUUUUUAUACUUGGUUUGUCCUAAAACGGCACCAACCGCAAAAUCGCUAGCACCACACAUGAUCUCAAAAGGAAGAUUCCAAUUAGGUAGUUGGAUAAUCGGGGCUGAGAUGAGUGCUUUCUUAAGAGUUUGAAAAGAUUCAUGACACUCAUCACUAAAGAUGAAAGGUGCGUCCUUAGCUAGGAGAUUAGUUAGGGGUCUAGCAAUUUGAGAGAAAUUCUUGAUAAAGCGUCUAUAAAACCCUGCAUGUCCCAAAAAGCUACGGAUUCCUUUCACAUUUGUGGGAGGUGGAAGUUUUUCAAUAACUUCAAUCUUUGCUUUGUCCACCUCUAUACCACGUUCGGACACUUUAUGUCCUAGCACUAUUCCUUCCUGAACCAUAAAAUGGCAUUUCUCCCAGUUCAGGAUUAAGUGCUUUUCUUCUCAUCGCUGCAAGACUCUAUCUAAAUUCUCCAAACAAUGAUCAAAGGUUUUGCCAUAGACGGUAAAAUCAUCCAUGAAAACCUCCAUGAUCUUCUCAAUCAUGUCUGAGAAAAUAGACGUCUGUUGGGUAUUUUAAACGCAAACAGAAAAAUCCGCAAGCGCACGGAUACCGAUGUAGCUUUCACCCGGGAGUAUUCCAGAGUAUCGAUUUUCCACAGAGAACGUGAGUGUACUAAUUAAGAUCCAAGAUCGCCCAAGGAUAACUAUAUAAUUAUUUUUGGUGGGAAGAGAGGAAGUUUCCUGAGAGUUCUCUAGUUGAUCUAAGAAUCAAGAAUUACUUCAAGAUUAUCUAUAUCGGGACAUCAGAGCACUAACCACAGAAAGAGAUGAGAAGGGGGCUAGGAAGGUCUGACUACGGUCCUACAAACACCAAUCCGAACGUGGUGGAAUACGUCGACCGUUAGGGCUGUCACUACCCUAGGGCUACCACAACAAUCCGUGGGAUUGGGUGCAAUUCCAGGUAAUCGCAAGACUAAACACCACGUCUAAUCUAUUAAUUACUACUCUAAUGUUUCAAAGAUUAGAGCACUUGAUGCAAGCGGGAAUCUAAUAAAUAACUUGAAUGUAAAUAAAAGUAAUUAGAGAACUCAGGAGUUAUGAGUUAAAGAACAUGGAGAACGAUGAAGAACGAACUAGAUGCUGCAAAAGUACAAUGUUGAGGAAGAUCCGACAGAUCCGGCUCCUCCUCCGCUCUCCUCUUCUCUCUCCCUAUUUUCUAGAUUACAACUAGAACUAACUAGAACUAGAACUAGAGGAACUAGAACUAGAACUAGAUGAACUAGAACUAGAUCUAGAUGAACUAGAGGUAGAACUAGAAGAACUAGAGGGAUCCUCUCUACUUGGAUGAAGAAUUGAAACCCUAACUUUGAUUCUGUAGAAGAGGUAUGAUCUCCAGGGGCCAGGGGGGUCUGGUUUUAUAGUCCCUUCAAGUGAAUCUGGGCCGUCGGAUCAAACUGACAUUGAUUGAACGGUUAUUGUUGAUCCUUUAGGUCGGUGGAGCAAUAUCCCGAAAGAGAGUCCUGAUUGGACUCUGGCUGAGGGCGGGCGCCCUGUCCCUGUGUCCUCUCGGCCUCCGCUUCGGUCCCGUGGCUUCUGGAGUCUUCUAGAUGAUAGAAAAUUGCGCAGCACGUUAAUAUCUCUAUGUAAACCCGACGUGUGGGCCUUUCUUCCGUAUUUCCUGAUAACCCCCUGCAGAAAUAGACAAACACCAAAACUCGUGGAAUUCUGUCAGAUAAAACCCUAAGUCUAGGUGUUGGUUCCAUUUAGAUCCUUUUCCAUGAUUAGUUGAUGGUUAAAUGUGAGCAAUAAGGACCGUCAACAAGCUCCCCCAAGCUUAACCUUUGCUCGUCCCUGAGCAAAGAUGAACUCAAGAGUUUCUGCAGUGGUUUCAUAACUUAAAGAUACACAUGCGUUUAAACAGGAUCUCAUCUCUGGGUUAGGGUAAAUUGUUAAGAUUUAAACUUACUCAUAUUACCUUUCACCAUGGGGCUUGCAACCGUCACUUGUGUCUUGAGCAGUUAAAAGAUAGAACGGUCUAGUCAAGCGCCAUGUCUCUUGUUCUUCGAUUAACUAUAGCUCUGGAGUUUUUGCAGAUUUUAAAAUAAAACUCAGAGAUUCCUUGUAUGACUCUCUCUAGUCUCUCUUUUGUGGUAUUUCUGGAUCCUUACCCAGGCAGUAAUGGUGUAUGUCUUCUCUCAAAGUAUGUGGUAUUUGUGGUAUAAGGCAUAGUGACAUUGCCUUCUCUCUCACCCUACUCUAAUAAGGUUUUGAUAUCUGGAGCUCAUAGGUGGGAGACAGCUAAUACAUACUUACAAGACAUUUAUUGCAUAGUCAAACCAUGGAUCCAGAAGAACAAGUCAAUAAGUUAAAUCAAGAUGUGCAUGUGUGGCGAAUGAAUGAUGCAUGGUAAUGAUGGUGAUAACAAUGGUGAAAGUCUAAUUCUACUUACGCUCUUUUGAUGGGAUACAUACCUUUCUUGCUCUUUUGAAACUUUUUGAGGAGAAUGAGAUGCUCUAUAUUUUCUUUUUUUUUCUUUUCUCUCAGGUGGGUAUCUUGUACCCCUAAUUCUACUGUUGGACACUUGUCCAUUUUUACCUCUCGUCUCACUUUUUCUUUUCUUCGAGGUUCCGGGCACUUGCCCCUUUUUAUUUCCUCGUAUUCUUUCUUUCUUUCUUUUUUUCUCUUUUUUAGAGCACUCAUCUCCUGAAAUAAUAUAGCAAGUGGUAGUAACCAAGAUAACUUGAGCAUUUAUUUCACAGGGAACAUAAAUAUUUUUCGCUAUUCUCUCCCGGAUUAGGAGUAGAAUAUUUUUGGGUGGUUCAUGUAUGAGUGAACGUGCAAGUGAAUCUUGAUUUAACCACAUGACAAGCUCCUAAGGGUCUACACAGCUUGACCACACUCAAUGCUCAUAAGCAGUAAAGUAAAUGUACGGUUCAAAGUCUAGCAAGCAUGUAUAUAUGGCUGUGGUAGGAAUUUAAACUCUCAUCAUACAGGAACUCAUCAUGCAACAUUUUAAAGAUUUUCAAAGAUAAAAUUCUCCAGAAUUCUAGCAUUUCUAGGAACAGAUAAACAGCAGCUCAACCUUCCCAUAUCGUAUCCGUUAACGACUUAGACUUUAGAUCAAGUACUCUCCCCACAAGUUCAGGUUUAGAGCAAAUCUUAAUGAAUACCAGUCAUACCUAAACUUGAGAAAGAUUUCAAUUUUAAGAACUAGUCAUGGUAGAGCAACUAUUCAUCAUUUCCAUGUGAGAGCUUAUCAUGAGGGUUCAUAGCAGACUUUAUUUAUUUAUUUAUUUAGCAAACUAAGCAAAAUAUAUAUAAGCACAAAAUCUUUAUUUGGGUUUUUAUGAUCAUGCAUCUUUUUAUUAUUUGAGUAAAAUAUAAACGUGAGUAGAACACUUAGCUGGAUAAAUGGGAGUGCUCUCCCCCAAGCUGGAUUUGACGCAAUUUCUUCGGAUGUAGCUAGCAGGUGGCGGAGGUGUAUUUGAAUGUCGGCAGCACCCUGACAGUGAUUAGGAUGUUCUCCGUCUGCUAGUCUUCUUUGAUCCUUGAAUUCUGUGUAGCUCAAAUAGACAACAAAGCUUUGUGGAACUAGUUAAGUGUUAGCAUAAAUAUCUAGCCUUUAUGAUGUUGAGCCUCCUCAAUAAAUGUUACUCUCUUUAGUAGGAUCACAAUCUUAUUUAUAUUUUCAUUUUUAUAGGAUAGGAAUAUAUAUUUAUUUUAUUUUUUAUGCCACCACAGUGAAUGUACUUAUGGCUUUUAUGCCAUGAGCAUAAUCACAUGGGGCUUACUAUUUUUAACAUUUUUAUUUUCUUUUCAAGAUGAUAGGAACCUGAUUAACUAAGCAAACUAUUUUAAAAUAAUUGAAAGGAAAAAGAUAACUACCAAGUUUACCUCUUGGCAAGGCGUUCGGUGUUUUUAAGUCCUCCGAACGGAACUCUCCGUUUUCUCAGUCGUCCUAAGAUUCAGUGGAUGGCGUAGUCGGUGGUUCACGCAGCGCCUCCUCUUCGUGUAUAAUUAUCUUUUUUCUCCACAACUGACUCGAUGCUACAGUCUCCUCAGGACAGUUCUGUUCAAGUUAUAUGUCUUCAGACCUUACAACUUCUCCAUCAUAGUCUACCCAUCUGUCCUUGAUGAUUUUGCCUUCUCUGGUUGCGGUUGCGCCGUCUCCUUCUUGUCCCGACCUGCUUAGAGUCUUCAACUAUAUAGUUAGGGUCAGUAAAAUAGCGGCGUACCUUCUCAGAGGUGAAGUGCAUGUGGACUUCUCGGGUUCCAAUGUAGAUGAUUGCUUUAACGGUGCUGAGGAACGGUCUCCUAAGGAUGAUGGAGGAUCAUACUUGUCUUCUCCCAUGUCAAUAACCUUUCAGAAUGUCUGAUCUGUCAUCUGGAGCUGAAUGUAUGUUGGUUGUAGGGACAUGGUUCCAUGCAGGAGCUGAUAAGUGACUGCGGCCAUUAUGUUGACGUUAGAUCCGGUGUCGUAGAGUGUCUUCUGAAAAGAAUAUCCGUUGAUUGUGCACUCGAUGUUUGGGACACCAGGGUCAAACUUCUUGAUCAAGAAAGGUGACUUGAGUUGACGAUCUUGAUCUCCUUGAGCUGCAGUGACCAUCUUAGCUGACUCGGUACACAUUUGCUUAUUCUUGUUCCUCCUGUUGGUCCUCUUCCUUGGUUCAUGUUGGGAUUGCUCUGAGAUUUGUGUAGUCUUAUUCUUGAAGGUAAACGUCUCCUUCCUUCCCUUGAUGUAGACACUGAUCUUGGCAGCACUAGCGUGGAUGACAGCUCCCGAGGUAUUCAGGAAUGGCCACCCUAGGAUGACGGGUGCCCUCUCAUCAGUAUCAGUCUCUAUCACCACGAAGUCUGCUGGAGCGUAUAAGGUACCAACUCGGACACAAAGGUUUUUCAAUAUUCUCUUUUGGAAACUUAGCGUCCGAUCUGCAAGCUGCAAACACAUGGUUGUCUCUAGUAAAGGAAGUAUAAAAAAUUUUUCAUAGAGUACCCUGGGCCUAAUGUUGACGGUGGAGCCAAAUUCACAG
rnacentral:lncRNA from 1 species